AACUGGAUAGUUCAAUCAGGAUAGAACGACAGUUUCCUAAACUGUAAGUUGUGGGUUCAAAUCCCACUCCGGUUA
rnacentral:tRNA from 1 species